ensembl:lncRNA
GCCAACAGGAAAUUCAAAUAUCUUCAAGAAACUGGAUCCCCAGUGACCUGUGCUAAAGUGUCAGCACGCCUGCAGUUUAUUGACAUAAGAGACUUAGAUAAUUCCAGGUACCUGUCUGGAAGAGAAGAAGAACUAUGUUCCCCAAGAGUCUUUUCGAGUACUGUUAUCAUUCCUGCUCAAGGGAACAGAUAUAAGGGCGCAGGUCAUCUGACUCGGCCCUCUUCUCGUCUCGCCGUGUUCCCUGUUGGAUCGACUCGCUACUGCUGCGCCCGACUGCACGCAAGGCUUCAGUAUUAGCAUUGUUGCUGCUGUUUUUAAUUAUUUUGGGGUCCCCUGUUUCCCUUCCUGG